GCGAAGCGUUCGGCUUCUGUGUUUUAAUCGCGCUGGGAAACUACUGGAGGUUUUAAACGGGGGCUUGAUGUUUUCUCUUGAGGCACCUUGGCUAUUACCGGAGAGAGUCUGUUGGGACAAGAGACACGGCAGGGAGGACCGUCAGGAGGCCUGGGUGGUGGGUGAGGCCGGAGUGCUGGGCCUGGACCAGGCCUAGGCGUUUGGCACCGAGGAUGUUGCCAAGUGGUGGCACGUAGGACAUUUUUGGAACGUAAUGCCAUCCGGAGACCCAGGAAAGUCGGUGGUGUGGUUCAGUCCCAACCCACAGGCCUGAGAACCAGGGGCCUGCUGGUUUAAGGCCGGGAGUCCGAAGGCUGGAGGACCAGCAGUGCCGACGUGCCAGGGCAGCAGAGGAUGGACGUCCCGCUCCAGAAGAAAAGAGUGAGGACUGGCCCUUGCUUCCGCUGUCCCGUUCCAGGCGGGCCCCCAAGAGACUGACGGUGCCGCCCUCACGGGGGAUGGGGAGCUCUUGACUCGUCACUCAGGUUCAAACGCUGACGGAGAAACAGCCUCACAGACGGGCCCAGAAAUACCAGCUAUCUGGGCAUCCCUCAGUCCAGUCAAGCUGGCACAUAAAGUUGAUCAUCCCAGGGGUUAACGGAAAGACUGGAUUAGAAAAAAGGGAAGUCACAGGAGGAUGGAGCAAUUGAUAAGCUCCCCAGAAGAGGACAGGGAACUAAUGACCAUACCACAUGGUGACCUGUGAACACCCAGAUGCAGCUGUGUGCUAUUGUUGUCAAAGAAAACAAUACAGGCUUUGCCAUUUCAGAGCAAGCUGGGUCUAUGACCUACUGCCAGCAUCUACAUCCCUCGGCUAAAGGAGCGUGCUCUGUGCCAGGGAAUUAACAUUCCCCUGGGAGCAGCCCUCAACCCAUGACUGAGGACGGCUGGGACACAGAUGCCUCAGUUCCCUAGCUCCUCGGGAAGGAUAAUUCUGUGGAAAGGAGAAAACCCCAAGGAUACAGGGAUUUUUGUCUGGUUAGUUGACUGCUGGAUGCCCAAGCCAACACAGGGCCUGGCACGUGAGAAGGGAUUGUGGUAAACAUCAGCUGCCCAUGAGGAAUUCUGCUUCUCAAGAAGAUGGCCUGGCUUCGUCUGGGUCCAUAUGGCUCAAUCUAUUCAUGUGAUUCCAAUGACAACUACGCCAUCUGGAAUUUUGUCAUUGCCUUUACCAAGUUUCCUGGUCAACCAGCAACUCUUGCUCAAAAAACGACAACAAAAAAUUAUUGUGUUUGAUAACUGCAUGUCUUUGUGUUGUUGUGGCACCUCUGCUGUAGGUGAGUUGCAUGGAAGGUGAGUCCGAUGUUUCACUUUUUAAAGUAGGUUUCUUCUUCUUGGGUACUCCAGCUCAUCACACUAUGCAACAGACGCUUAGGCUUUCUGCUAGCCGUCCUUCCAACAUGUGCAUCCAAGCUGACCUGUAUAAAUAGUCCGUAUCAUACUAAUUCAACAGAUAUUUCAUGAAUGAAGUGGCUGGCACACAGGAGGCAUCCAGAUAUAUAUUAAAUGAAUGAAUAAAUACCAACCGCACCUUUGACUCCCUGCUAGGUGGUACCAGCUAGGUGGUAGGAAGAGGGAGAGGAGAAAAAGCUCUAUAUAAUAUCAGGUAAGUUCUGCCUCCCAGGGUUUAACAGUCUCCAGGGGGAAGAUGUAAAUAAAUAACGCAAUGGAAGGUAAGAAUCACUAAGUGCCAGAGCAUCUGUGAGUGGGAGGUAGAGCUCACUGGCGCUGGAGAGGAGGGGGUGAAGUGAGGCUUGAAGGAGGAGAGGUAGGUAUUCAAAUUUAGGAUUUUCCCCCAGUUCGGGGUUAACUCUGGCCCCAGAUUGAGCCCCUGAAAGUAAAAGGGCCCUUCUGUCAGUCGCUGAAACUGCACACAGUAUCUUUUUUUUUUUUUGGAGCUGGCUAACAACUUUCCCUUCACGAUUGAUGACUAAUUCAAAUGAGCAUUAGCUCACUUUGCAAAUAUGAAUAUUACAGUAUGGCAAUAUAGAGCGCUAAAAGCUACCAGUUUAGUAUGAUUCAUUUUAGUUGCGAAGUUGAAAUAUUGCGGUAGCAUUAAAAGAGAAGUGAGUUACAGACAUA